GUGAUGGGAGCUCAUUUGAAGCCUCAGUCUGGAAGCUGGUGCAGGUUGCUUAGGUGCAGGCUGAGCUCCUGAGGAGCUGUGGGGAUGUAUGCAAAGAUGGUUUUCAGCCUAAAGAAUUAGAGCAAUUUGUGAUGUGACUACUGAGUAGCAUUCCAGGGACAACGUGUCUCCUUCAACACUAAUUAAAGGUAAUUCAAAUGUGUGGCUUCUAACUACUUGCAGAGGACAGCUUAGUAUUGCUAACACCAUGUGGUGUUCGAAGCUGAGAGGUUCCUUGAGUCCCAGGACAGCAUGAACCAGCAUCCCUUCACAGUGCCUCUGAUGAGACGUGAAGUGCUGGUGGAUAAUUCUGCAUGGCUGAUGAAAAUGUGUGGCCAAAGUAUCUCAGGCUUAUAUGGAGAGGUGACUAAGGAGGAAUGGCCAGCCAACCUCAAACCUCAGAUAGCUGCAAAAAACCACCAGCCCUGGAGCGUAUCAUCCUCCCAACAGACACUGUGUUUCUGCUGUAG
ensembl:lncRNA